AGGUACACUCAGCUCCCUGCCUGCCUGUUCCGAGACUGGCAUGUCCUGUCCAGUUCAGCUACGGGCCCUCCAUAGGACGAGAACGUGGAGUCUCUGGGGGGAGGGAGGAAGCUCACCACUAGCAUGCAGCCAGUAAGGGCUAUGAGGACGGGGCCCUGGACAACUCCUCGGAGCCACCCCUUGCGACACAGACCGUAAGACUGUGCUUGGAGCAAGGAUCAGAACACAAAGUAUGGAUGCCAUAAUUUGGAUACCAGUUACACAGGGACUAAUUGCUUUACAGAAAGAGAGAGCAACAGAGCACAAGCAGGGGAGUAGCAGAG